GUCAUUUUCGGAUUUUCCUAUAGCCCCCCUCCCCCUCUUUCUUUAAGAACCAGUCAGAAACGUCUUUCUUUCUUCUCUGCUCUCUGGUAUCCGGUUUCCUCAACCUUCUUCUUCUAUUCAAACCCCACGGCCGCCAGGGAAGACCCGGAGUCGUACGGAGAUGAUGGUAGAGUUUUUUCUUCUAGGGUGUACCGGAGUUGUUGUGUUCCUCCACGGAGCCAAUUUCUUCUUCCACGUUCUCUCCAACCACAUGGCCAUCCGAUCUCUCAGUUUCCUGGGAUUUGCUGGAUGGUAGUAGAUGGCGAGGAAAGAUGAAGAAUUGAAGGGAAGUCCAUGGUCGGUGGGUGAUGACACAUUGAAAGUCGGGGGAGGCACCGCCUGGCAUUAAGUUUUGUAAAUACUUUUGAGCAAAUAUUAAUAAUAUUAGUGACAUUAAGAAACAGGUGAAAUACAUUAGAAAUAAACGGGAGGCUUUAUUCAGUGACUUGUAAUAAUCCAUCUGCACUUAAUCAAUUUCAGACCGCACUUGAUAUGGAAAUAAUAUUUGCUUAUCCUUUUAUUUUUUCAA